rnacentral:tRNA from 1 species
GCCUUCGUAGUGUAACGGUAGCACACUCGGCGCGUAUUCGAAAGGUCCAGGUUCGAGUCCCGGUGAGGCA